rnacentral:rRNA from 1 species
AGAACGAACGCUGGCGGCAUGCCUAAUACAUGCAAGUCGAACGAACUCUUCGGAGUUAGUGGCGCACGGGUGCGUAACGCGUGGGAAUCUGCCCUUGGGUUCGGAAUAACAGUUGGAAACGACUGCUAAUACCGGAUGAUGACGAAAGUCCAAAGAUUAUCGCCCAGGGAUGAGCCCGCGUAGGAUUAGCUAGUUGGUGAGUAAAGGCUCACAAGGCGACGAUCCUUAGCUGGUCUGAGAGGAUGAUCAGCCACACUGGGACUGAGACCACGGCCCAGACUCCGUACGGGAGGCAGCGAGGUAGGGGAAUAUGGACAAGUGGGACGAAAGCCUAGAUCCAGCAAUGCCGCGUGAGU